AAAUUGAAGAGUUUGAUCAUGGCUCAGAUUGAACGCUGGCGGCAGGCCUAACACAUGCAAGUCGAACGGUAGCACAGAGAGCUUGCUCUCGGGUGACGAGUGGCGGACGGGUGAGUAAUGUCUGGGAAACUGCCCGAUGGAGGGGGAUAACUACUGGAAACGGUAGCUAAUACCGCAUAACGUCGCAAGACCAAAGUGGGGGACCUUCGGGCCUCACACCAUCGGAUGUGCCCAGAUGGGAUUAGCUAGUAGGUGGGGUAACGGCUCACCUAGGCGACGAUCCCUAGCUGGUCUGAGAGGAUGACCAGCCACACUGGAACUGAGACACGGUCCAGACUCCUACGGGAGGCAGCAGUGGGGAAUAUUGCACAAUGGGCGCAAGCCUGAUGCAGCCAUGCCGCGUGUAUGAAGAAGGCCUUCGGGUUGUAAAGUACUUUCAGCGAGGAGGAAGGCGUUGUGGUUAAUAACCACAGCGAUUGACGUUACUCGCAGAAGAAGCACCGGCUAACUCCGUGCCAGCAGCCGCGGUAAUACGGAGGGUGCAAGCGUUAAUCGGAAUUACUGGGCGUAAAGCGCACGCAGGCGGUUUGUUAAGUCAGAUGUGAAAUCCCCGGGCUCAACCUGGGAACUGCAUUUGAAACUGGCAAGCUUGAGUCUCGUAGAGGGGGGUAGAAUUCCAGGUGUAGCGGUGAAAUGCGUAGAGAUCUGGAGGAAUACCGGUGGCGAAGGCGGCCCCCUGGACAAAGACUGACGCUCAGGUGCGAAAGCGUGGGGAGCAAACAGGAUUAGAUACCCUGGUAGUCCACGCCGUAAACGAUGUCUACUUGGAGGUUGUGCCCUUGAGGCGUGGCUUCCGGAGCUAACGCGUUAAGUAGACCGCCUGGGGAGUACGGCCGCAAGGUUAAAACUCAAAUGAAUUGACGGGGGCCCGCACAAGCGGUGGAGCAUGUGGUUUAAUUCGAUGCAACGCGAAGAACCUUACCUGGUCUUGACAUCCACGGAAGUUUUCAGAGAUGAGAAUGUGCCUUCGGGAACCGUGAGACAGGUGCUGCAUGGCUGUCGUCAGC
rnacentral:rRNA from 1 species